rnacentral:lncRNA from 1 species
AUGCCGAAAGCCAGCACUUGCCAGCUACACCCAUCUGCUGCUUUUCAUUACCGAGACCCUGCUCCGUCCCGAGGUGUGUGUGUGCGCUCCGUGCCCCCGCAGCACCGGGGAGAGGGAGCAGAGCAAGCACCCUGCAGAAAGCAGCCCUGCACCUCCACAGCACCCCGAGGUCAUCCCUUUGAGAUGCCCGAAUUGGGAGGGCAGCGAGGGGUUGGUUCCCACCAUCCUGGCCCCUUUUUCAUGUGCCAUGAGGGAAACCCCCCUAACCUGCCCAUGGAGAAGUUCCCCUCGCCUUUUACCUGCAGGUAUGGGACAGAAAAAGCCCUGUCAUGUCCCUCAUGGUGGGGGGCACCAGAGCUGCCCCUUUGCAAUGGGUUCCCCUGCAAGGAUGCCAUCUGCAGGGGGCACAGAGCAAGCAGGACGCCAGGUGGGCUGGGGUCCAGGCUGGGGGGUCUCUGGGCAGGCAGCGGUGCUGGGGCUGGGCGAGCACCGAGCACUGCAUCCCAUAAAAUGGGUGCAUGCAAGGGGCAGGUGGAAAGGCAGCGAGAAAAGGACAGGGGGUUGGAAUUGCCAAGGCAAAGGGAUUCUUGGUCCUGCCAUGGCUAUCUCGGACCAUCCUUAAAGACCUGCUGCUGCUGGUGGUGCCCUUCCCCUUUCCCCUCUGCACAGGAGGAUGGGGUCUGGGCUUUGGCGCACUGCAAACUGAAGAUCCCCUUGGUUCUUGCCAUGAACACACGAUGCUCUCAGCAUCCCAAUGGGCUUGCUGUCUCCAGACCAUCUCCAGAGAGCACCAGGCCUGAGCCAAGGAGACUUCUCUCUGCCCUUCCAGCCCAGGGUAUCUCAGCACCAUGCUCUACCAGGCACAGGAUGGCAGAAGCGGCAGAGUGCCGGAGGAGAAGGGCAGGGCAGCAGGAGCUGAGGUGCUCUCACGGCCAAGCUCUGCCCUGGAUGCAGCUUCCUCAGCAAGCCCAGGCUGCCCUGGAGCAGAGCACGGGUUGGGGGCUCCCUGGUCCCCCUCAUUGCACCUCCGGGACCACCACCACGGCUCGCAAGGGGUGGCCAGAGCCCUGGCUGAGCUCGCACCUCGUCGAGGCAUUUUGCACCUUGUCCCAGCUGGGCAGCCCCUGCAGCACCCUUCUGUGCUGGAGGGCAGAGAGCUUAGGGGAUAGAGCCAUCAGGGCCGAGCCUGCAUUUACAGACCGAGACAAAGUCAAUCCCCAUUAUUUGCUGUUGGGAUUAGCUGGUAGGGGAAGCUCUUCUCGGAGAGGACUGGACUUAAUUAUCAGCACAUCGUUAGCUAGCAAGGAAUCUCCUAAGCUGGGAAGCUCUGAGCCGAUGCCAUCAGUCACUUCUAACAAGGUGGGCUGCAGUUUACCCAGGAGAUUUGCAGUUCCUGAUGUGCAAUUCACUGAGGCAUGA